GUUACUUUUGCAGUAGCCUAUGAUGUGACAUUUUUUGCAUCUGGCCUAGAUGAAAAAAGGAAGGAUGAAAUUGUUUGCAGAUAUCAGCUGGGCUCCGGCAAAGUCUUUGAUGAAAAGCCCAUCUCUAUGAAUCAAGGAAAGUUAAUUUGCCCAGGACAUAUAUUUGACAAGGCUGGACAUAUGAGCCUACAGAGCCUACAACUGUCCCAACAACUACCACAACAACCACAAAGCCUACCACUGUCACAACGAGCACGACGACCACAACUACAAUGCCUACCACAGUCAUGACAACAACACAGACAACCACCACAACACCUACCACAGUCAGGACAACAACAACAGAGAAGACCACAACACCUACCACAGUCCAGACAACAACAACAACAACAACACGGAAGACCACAAUGCCUACCACAGUCAGGACAACAACAACAACAACAACACGGAAGACCACAACGCCUACCACAGUCAGAACAACAACAACAACAACAACACGGAAGACCACAACGCCUACCACAGUCAGAACAACAACAACAACAACACGGAGGACCACAACACCUACCACAGUCAGGACAACAACAACAACAACAACACGGAAGACCACAACGCCCACCACAGUCAGGACAACAACAACAACAACACGGAGGACCACAACGCCUACCACAGUCAGAACAACAACAACAACAACACGGAGGACCACAACACCUACCACAGUCAGGACAACAACAACAACAACACGGAGGACCACAACACCUACCACAGUCAGAACAACAACAACAACAAGAAAAACAACAACAACAACACGGAAGACCACAACACCUACCACAGUCAGAACAACAACAACAACAACACGGAGGACCACAACACCUACCACAGUCAGGACAACAACAACACGGAGGACCACAACACCUACCACAGUCAGAACAACAACAACAACAACAACACGGAGGACCACAACGCCUACCACAGUCAAGACAACAACAACAACAACAACAAGGAGGACCACAACACCUACCACAGUCAGGACAACAAUAACAUGGAGGCCAAUAAGGCCUUUCACUGUCAGGACGACAACAUGGAGGCCCAUAACGCCUUUCACCAUCAGGACAACAGCAACAUGGAGGCCCAUAACGCCUUUCACCAUCAGGACAACAGCAACAUGGAGGCCCAUAAGGCCUUUCACCAUCAGGACAACAUCAUGGAAGCCCAUAAGGCCUAUCACAGUCUGGACAACAACAACGUGGAGGCCCAUAACACCUUUCACCAUCAGGACAACAACAACAACAUGGAGGCCCAUAAUGCCUUUCCCCAUCAGGACAACAACAGCAUGGAGGCCCAUAAGGCCUUUCACAGUCAGGACGACAACAACAACACAGAGGACCACAACGCCUACCACCGUCAAAACAACAACAACAACAAGAAAAACAACAACAACAACAAGAAAAACAACAACAACAACAAGAAAAACAACAACAACAACAACACGGAGGACCACAACACCUACCACAGUCAGGACAACAACAACAACAACAACACGGAGGACCACAACGUCUACCACAGUCAGAACAACAACAACAACAACACGGAGGACCACAACGCCUACCACAGUCAGGACAACAACAACAACAACAACACGGAGGACCACAACACCUACCACAGUCAGAACAACAACAACAACAAGGAGGACCACAACGCCUACCACAGUCAAGACAACAACAACAACAAGAACAACAACAACAACAACAAGGAGGACCACAACGCCUACCACAGUCAGAACAACAACAACAACAACGAGGACCACAACGCCUACCACAGUCAGGACAACAACAACAACAACAAGGAAAACAACAACAACAACAAGAAAAACAACAACAACAACAAGGAGGACCACAACGCCUACCACAGUCAGAACAACAACAACAACAAGGAGGACCACAACGCCUACCACAGUCAGGACAACAACAACAAAGCAAACAACCAGAACAACAACAAGGCCUACCACAGUUAGGACAACAACAACAAUAACAACAAGGAAAACAACAACAAGGACAACAAGGAUUACCACAACGCCUACCACUGUGAGGACAAGCAGGACAACGACGACAACAGUGAUGACAACAGUGACAACAGUAGCCACAACAACGACCACAACAACCACAACGAUGACAGUGACGACAAUCCCUACUACUUGCACAAAGACAACAACCUCUGUGACUACAGUUGUCACCCAGAUACCGGUUCCCAGCAGUCCUUUCUUGUAUGCUACAUUCAUCCCCUCACUGAUCGUGAUCCCAUUGGUGCUUAUCUGUAUCUGCUGCUACAAGACGGUCAUCAAGGAGCCACCAUCAGCCCAAAGACCAGAAAAGCCAUGCCCUGUACAGACCACAGUGAUUGUCUCCUGCUGUGAAUGCCAAGAAGACAGGAUAAGCCAGAUGGAGGGAAAACUGGAUGUUUUUUAUCACUUUCUUCAGCGCUGCAGCCUGGUGCCAUUGAUGCGGUAUCCAACCAGAGACAUGGGAAGAUGCCCCAGCUUCGCCUUAAUGAAUCCUCACUGCGCACCAAUGCUCUGUGGCCCAAAGAUCUGCCCUCAACCCAGGCAGGAGUGUUUCCCCCUAAAUAGCUGUAGCUCUCACUGGCAACAUCACCAACCCAUACGCACUCAGUCAUUCUCCAGAUUCCUGCCGCUGAGCCCUCCCACUGCCAAUAAGCUCUGCAGAAGUCCUUUGUCACUCCCACCCCCAUAGCCCAAUGUCUAAAGCACCAAAAACACAAACUGUUAAGAGCCCCUUUUGUACCAAAUUAAACAUAUAUAUUGUGUUUUGGAUUACAGUCAAAAGGAGUUGGAAUUUGUUGCUGAUCAGCAAGAGAGUUUCUUACCUGGUAAGCACUGCUCCUCCAUAUGAGACAACUGUACUACUCCCACCAGGACAAAGCACCCUGGUGUUCUGUGGAUGUAGACAGGAUGAGUCCCAUUCCCCAAGACUGGUCUCC
rnacentral:lncRNA from 1 species